GUUCCACUAUAGAUGCCGCUGUCUCUUUCUUCUCCAGCCCUGAUACCUAUCGGCUCUCUCCAAAACCGCCCAUAACACCACACUACCGUUUCCAGGAUUACUCCGCCGAAACGGGAGUGCCAAGCAGGCGGGCUUUUUCAAUUAAGGGGCCCCAAACGUAGGCCAUCGCCCACACCCUGAGAUUGAGAGUCUCUGGCUCCAUCGACUGAGAUGCCUGGGCUACUGCUUCAGAUCCUUUGCGUGAAACACCCCAAUACGUGAGCCUUGCAACGUCUCCAGCUCGUCCAUACUCCGGAUCACUCGGCACUUGACGUAUUUGGGCUGAACUUCGCGUUGAUGUUGUCUUUAAAUUUGCUCAACACGAAAUUCCGCUUGUAUAUCUCCUGACCCGGCUUCAUGAGAGUUUCCUCGGACCUCAUUUCGGACUAUUUCCAUCUUGUCACUCCUCGCCAAGGGGGACAUUUGUGCAUCAUUUAGGGCGCCCAGUCUGCGUGCCAAUUUAUAAUCUCGGUCGCUAGUAAACAUGUGCUGCCCAAACAACACAAAGUAUGGCGACGACCCGAUACCCGUGUGUAUAACGCUCCUAGCCACACACUGGAUCUCCGUCAGCUUCUCGUCCCAGCGCGUGUGAUCCUCACUAGCGUAUGUCCUUAUUGCUGCCAGUACAGUCUGGUUCACUCGUUCGGCCGCGUUCGCCUGCGGUGCAUAGUUCCCCGACUUCAGGCACGCCAAACUGCGCGAGACCUCGGCGUGCAAGAAUCGGAUCACGGCCGAAGACGUCGCCUUAGGCAAAGCCAUCAACCAGACAUAUCUGGACAUGUGAUCGAGGACUAUUAGUAUGACUACAUUGCCACUUCGAGUCCUCGGAUAUGGACCCAGGAAAUCCAGGUGUCACAAUCAGCCACACAUGCAAUCACCUGCACGGUCAUCCGGGGCCAAUAAUAGAACCGUCCCAGUGUCCUCGCGAUUCCUCCAUGCAUUGCCACAUCUCUGUCGUGAGCCUGUUGGAUCAGUGUGCUCGUCAGGGCUUCCAGGAUCCAUAGCUUCCACGAAAACUCCUCUAAUUCCGGCCGGCCAAAUUGUGUGCGCUUAAACAGCAGUCCUUCCUCCACCUUCAGGCUGUGGUGUCGAACUCCAGGAAGUCGAUAGCGUCAACGUCAAAGGGACGUGACAGCAUAUCGCGACGAUAUUUUCCUUUCCUUUCCUAAGCCUGGAGAGCAAACGACCACCUGGCUAGCCUCCCAUCCAGUGCUUUGAAUCGCAUGAGCCACUGCAAACUCGCGUGACCUGUUAUCACCGUGAAUGGCAUCAGUUCUACGUAUGCACGGAACUUCUCUAUGGCUCUUACCGCCGCCAGACACUCCUUCUCUGGUACGCUAUAGUUGAGCUGUGCCCCUCUUAGCUUCGCCGAAAACAAUGCGAUCGGGUGCUCUGCUCCUUCAUCAUCCCUCUGGAAGAGAACUGCUCCAAUCCCCACGUGACUCGCAUCACACUGGAUGAAAAAGCGCUUCUUAAAGUCUGGGUGAUGUAGCGCUGGGGGCGCUGGUAAGUGCUUUUUUGAGCUCCUCGAACGAUUUUCCUGCCUCCUCCGUCAGCUUAAAUUGCCCUUUUCCUUUCAGACAGUCUGUCAGAGGAGCCGAGAGUGCCGAGAAAUUUCG